AGUGAACGCUGGCGGCAGGCCUAAUACAUGCAAGUCGAACGGCAGCACAGCAGAGCUUGCUCUGUGGGUGGCGAGUGGCGGACGGGUGAGGAAUACGUGGGAAUCUGCCCAGUCGUGGGGAUAACGUAGGGAAACUUACGCUAAUACCGCAUGCGCCCUUCGGGGAAAGCCGGGGACCUUCGGGCCUGGCGCGAUUGGAUGAGCCCACGUCGGAUUAGCUAGUUGGCGGGGUAAAGGCCCACCAAGGCGACGAUCCGUAGCUGGUCUGAGAGGAUGAUCAGCCACACUGGAACUGAGACACGGUCCAGACUCCUACGGGAGGCAGCAGUAGGGAAUAUUGGACAAUGGGCGCAAGCCUGAUCCAGCCAUGCCGCGUGAGUGAA
rnacentral:rRNA from 1 species